CUGGUUGGAAGGUACUUAAAUGACCUCUACUCCAACACAUGUGAAAGCUGCACAUCCUGCCCGGCGCCACCGCUAUGAUACGCUCUUCACUUUCUAAAUAUGGUAUAAUUCCGAGUUAUUCUUAUAGUCUUCGAGUGUUAUUAGAACCUGAACAUACAUACAGAUACGGUUUGACCACAUAUUGUUGCAGAACACUUCCACAUACCCAUGUACCCGUACUGUGUGUCAAGCCGAGGAUCGUUACCAAUAUCUCUGCUACUGAACCUGAUAUUUCUUUUCCUCGUGUUUUGCGGCCCCGAUUUGGGAGAAAGUACCAGCUAUACCAGUUUUCUCAUCUAUCAAGGAUGGUAAAAAUUUAAAAAAAACAACGUGCCAAACAUGAGCCAAGUUUUUCUCCAUUUUCCUUGAGGUCUUUUUAGAAAGUGUGCGUUAACUUCUCACCUUUUACUGGAUAAAUUCUUCAUCAAAGGUCCUCGUCAAUUUUUUCAACUCUGUGGACACGAUAAACAAAAAUACCUAAAGAAUAAUUUAAGAGAACACAUCUAUGGAAUGCUUCAACACUCAACGACUACUUAUUUCAGUUGGACGAACAAAUAAACAUUCAUUUUCGAAACCGACUGAGAAUCCAUAUAUUUUAUAUUACAAGCACAUCUCAUUUUUUCUUCCAAUUUAUCUCAUAUUCUUUGUCACUGUUCUUUUUAUGAUAUAUAUGAUGCGAUAAAUAUCAGUAUAACAUCUGAGAAAUGCAGAUGUAAGGUGAUAUCAAUGUAUGGAAGAUAAAGAUAAAACUGUCGUAUUAGCUUGCAUAGGUUGCUUCAGAAGCCUAUAUUAUUUCGGGGUAAAACGCCUUUUCAAAUAAGAGUGACAAGAAUCUAACAGUCCAGAGUUGUUGCAAUUGUCAGCAAGCCAUCUCAGUCAUUUACAGUGGCGAUUUAUCCCUAUUAUGAUAAAACUAUCGUAACAGCUUACAUAGAUUGUUUAAGAAACCUAUAAUAUUUCGGGAUGAAACAAGUUUGUUAAGUAAUCUGUGUAAUACAUUCAAUACAUUCAUAUUUCUUUCAUUUAUUGACAAGACUCUGCUUAGUUUCAUUAACACUCCAUCUUCAUUGCACAAAGGUCUUGCAGGCAUUUAUUUCAUUAUUUACAUACAACAAUACUUCAAGCAACACGUAUGUCUGUCUGUAUGUAUGUAGGGGCAGGUGAGGCGGUGUAGUUGGACAGCAAACUUCCUAACAGUGUAAUCUAAGGUUCGGGCCUACACUGCGACACCUUGCAAAAGUAUUUUCUACAAUAUCCACAAUCCGACCAACACCUUGCGAGUGAGAUUGGAAACUAAAAGAAGCCCGUCGCAUGUGUGUGUGUGUGUUUAUAGCUAUGUGUAUGUGCGUUUGUGCUACCACCACCUCUUGACAACUGGUGUUGGCUUGUUUACGUCCUUGUAACCUAGCGGUUCAGCAAAGAUGAACGAUAGAAUAAAUACCAAGCCUAAAAUCGUAGGUUCCGGGGUCGGGUUGUUUGACGAAAC